rnacentral:rRNA from 1 species
AUUGAACGCUGGCGGCAUGCCUUACACAUGCAAGUCGAACGGUAACAGGUCUUCGGAUGCUGACGAGUGGCGAACGGGUGAGUAAUACAUCGGAACGUGCCCGAUCGUGGGGGAUAACGGAGCGAAAGCUUUGCUAAUACCGCAUACGAUCUACGGAUGAAAGCAGGGGACCGCAAGGCCUUGCGCGGACGGAGCGGCCGAUGGCAGAUUAGGUAGUUGGUGGGAUAAAAGCUUACCAAGCCGACGAUCUGUAGCUGGUCUGAGAGGACGACCAGCCACACUGGGACUGAGACACGGCCCAGACUCCUACGGGAGGCAGCAGUGGGGAAUUUUGGACAAUGGGCGAAAGCCUGAUCCAGCCAUGCCGCGUGCAGGAAGAAGGCCUUCGGUUGUAACUAGCUUAGUCUAGGAAAAGGGUAGGCGAGGUUAAGUACCCUCGUGCUUUGUAUGGUACUGGAAGAAGUAAAGCACCGGCUAACGUACGUGCCAGCAGCCGCGGUAAGU